rnacentral:rRNA from 1 species
CCUACGGGCGGCAGCAGUGGGGAAUAUUGCACAAUGGGGGAAACCCUGAUGCCGCGACGCCGCGUGAGUGAAGAAGUUUUUCGGUACGUAAAGCUCUAUCAGCAGGGAAGAAAAUGACGGUACCUGACUAAUAAGCCCCGGCUAACUACGUGCCAGCAGCCGCGGUAAUACGUAGGGUGCAAGCGUUAUACGGAUUUACUGGGCGUAAAGGGAGCGUAGACGGCAGCGCAAGUCUGGAGUGAAAUCCCAUGGCUUAACCAUGGAACUGCUGUGGAAACUGUGCAGCUAGAGUGCAGGAGAGGUAAGCGGAAUGCCUGGUGUAGCGGUGAAAUGCGUAGAGAUUAGGAGGAACACCAGUGGCGAAGGCGGCUUACUGGACUGUAACUGACGUUGAGGCUCGAAAGCGUGGGGAGCAAACAGGAUUAGAUACCCGGGUAGUC